CGAGGCGUUAAUAACUAUAUUUACCAAAGAAAGAUUAGACGACAUACCUCAGGGAGAACAAAUCUACAGGGGAGAAGAGGUAGAAGGAUUAAACUGCUUAGCGUGACAUGAUGGCGUUGUCGUUGGUGUUGAGAGGUGGAGGUCCACGUAUGAGCUACCAGGCAACCAACCAGUGACGUCGUGGUCUUGAGUCCUUGAUCCACUUGGCCUUCGGAGCUCGAGGCAUCUCGUUCGAACCGGUGCUGUGCUGGCGGGGGAUCGGGCAGUGCGCCGCCAGCCACUCACCCACUUAACCAAUUUUCCCCGUCAUUUUCCCUGCUCAGUGAGGGGUUGGGGGGAGCUUGAGGUAGGAGAGGGCCUUGUAAGGUCCGUCUCGCCUGGAUGUGGCCAUUUUCAGAGCAGCAGGUCGACCAAAUCUACUUAAACGGAUGUACAGUGCGUAGUGUUCUUUCUUUUGAGCCGAGGUGAGGAGGCGUUCUGGCUGACUUGAUAGCUGCUGUUCUGCGCUGUGGGUUGAUUGCUGGAUGGCAGACUCCCGCUGACAAGAAGUCCAGUGCGCAGCGUUCUUCCUUCUGACCCGAGAUGAGGCGCUCUGCUGGACUGGAUACGCUGUCCUGCUAGCUGAAAAAGAAAAAAAAAAUCACACAACUCUUACGAAAGCCUUAGCAAAUGUGUGUGCCUAUGCGCCGGAAUGUAAAAGAACAUGGCCCAGUGAUG